GAUGAACGCUGGCGGCGUGCCUAAUACAUGCAAGUCGAGCGAACGGACGAGAAGCUUGCUUCUCUGAUGUUAGCGGCGGACGGGUGAGUAACACGUGGAUAACCUACCUAUAAGACUGGGAUAACUUCGGGAAACCGGAGCUAAUACCGGAUAAUAUUUUGAACCGCAUGGUUCAAAAGUGAAAGACGGUCUUGCUGUCACUUAUAGAUGGAUCCGCGCUGCAUUAGCUAGUUGGUAAGGUAACGGCUUACCAAGGCAACGAUGCAUAGCCGACCUGAGAGGGUGAUCGGCCACACUGGAACUGAGACACGGUCCAGACUCCUACGGGAGGCAGCAGUAGGGAAUCUUCCGCAAUGGGCGAAAGCCUGACGGAGCAACGCCGCGUGAGUGAUGAAGGUCUUCGGAUCGUAAAACUCUGUUAUUAGGGAAGAACAUAUGUGUAAGUAACUGUGCACAUCUUGACGGUACCUAAUCAGAAAGCCACGGCUAACUACGUGCCAGCAGCCGCGGUAAUAUGUAGGUGGCAAGCGUUAUCCGGAAUUAUUGGGCGUAAAGCGCGCGUAGGCGGUUUUUUAAGUCUGAUGUGAAAGCCCACGGCUCAACCGUGGAGGGUCAUUGGAAACUGGAAAACUUGAGUGCAGAAGAGGAAAGUGGAAUUCCAUGUGUAGCGGUGAAAUGCGCAGAGAUAUGGAGGAACACCAGUGGCGAAGGCGACUUUCUGGUCUGUAACUGGCGCUGAUGUGCGAAAGCGUGGGGAUCAAACAGGAUUAGAUACCCUGGUAGUCCACGCCGUAAACGAUGAGUGCUAAGUGUUAGGGGGUUUCCGCCCCUUAGUGCUGCAGCUAACGCAUUAAGCACUCCGCCUGGGGAGUACGACCGCAAGGUUGAAACUCAAAGGAAUUGACGGGGACCCGCACAAGCGGUGGAGCAUGUGGUUUAAUUCGAAGCAACGCGAAGAACCUUACCAAAUCUUGACAUCCUUUGACAACUCUAGAGAUAGAGCUUUCCCCUUCGGGGGACAAAGUGACAGGUGGUGCAUGGUUGUCGUCAGCUCGUGUCGUGAGAUGUUGGGUUAAGUCCCGCAACGAGCGCAACCCUUAAGCUUAGUUGCCAUCAUUAAGUUGGGCACUCUAAGUUGACUGCCGGUGACAAACCGGAGGAAGGUGGGGAUGACGUCAAAUCAUCAUGCCCCUUAUGAUUUGGGCUACACACGUGCUACAAUGGACAAUACAAAGGGCAGCGAAACCGCGAGGUCAAGCAAAUCCCAUAAAGUUGUUCUCAGUUCGGAUUGUAGUCUGUAACUCGACUACAUGAAGCUGGAAUCGCUAGUAAUCGUAGAUCAGCAUGCUACGGUGAAUACGUUCCCGGGUCU
rnacentral:rRNA from 1 species